GACGAACGCUGGCGGCGUGCCUAAUACAUGCAAGUAGGACGCAGUUGCGAACGGGUGAGUAACGCGUAGGUCACUGCCUCUUAGAGGGGGAUAACUAUUGGAAACGAUAGCUAAUACCGCAUACUAGUAGAUGGAUCUACGUUGUAUUAGCUAGUAGGUUGGGUAAUGGCCUACCUAGGCGACGGUACAUAGCCGACCUUGGGGGGGGGUCGGCCACACUGGGACUGGGGCACGGCCCAGACUCCUACGGGAGGGAGCAGUAAGGAAGCUUAGGCAAUGGGGGGAACCCUGACCGGGCAACGGCGGGGGAGUGGAGAAGGUUUUCCGGUCGGAAAGCUCUGGUGUUAAGGAAGCGGUACUUAACCAGAAAGGGACGGCUAACUACGUGCCAGCAGCCGCGGUAAUAC
rnacentral:rRNA from 1 species